rnacentral:lncRNA from 1 species
CUCCUAGAGAAGGGCUCAACAGUGAGUGUUGAGGCUGCACAGAGGAGGAAGGUAGCACAAUGAUGGAAGGCUUCCUAAAGAGAUAACACUAACAAAGUUGACCUUAGAAUUGGAGUGCCCGGGUUAGAACCUUGCUGGUACCACCUGCUUACUGCAUGCUUCUGAUGUGAGUUCAGGAGAAGCCACUGGCAAGGACAGCAAAGAACAGGAGAACACUCUAGCUUCCCUGAUAGCAUUCAAGGUGCUGUCCAAAGCUCUUGAGUUUCUGCUUUCAAGUGACCCUCAGAAAUGCCCCCAUUCACUGCAGAGGUUCUGUUUCUCCUUGUUUUGUUCCGACUUUAUGGCAGAACUAGGUUAAUGAGUUAAUUACUAUGAGUUAUCACUUGGAUUUGAAGAACCAUCAUUUCUAGGCUUUGCUGCUCAGAGUGGGUUUGCCCUCAGGGGAAGCUAUCUAACCAGAGCCUAACCCACUAGGGUUUUAUCAGAACCUAACUGGCCUGAGGAAAAGAAAUAUUCAACUCCAGCAAGCUCCAGCCUUCCAAACGGAGGAGGAGAAAACCCAAAUCCAGCCCACUUCAGCUAUCUUGUCCCACAUAAAGGGGGAGUGGAAGAAACGUGAGAAGCAGGCAUGAAGUUCACAGUCCGGAGGUAUACAAGCCAUGCUGAACAUCUGAAAAUCAAUUCAUGUGAUCCAUCACAUUAGCAGAUUCAAGAAAAAAAAAACCACAUUAUCAUAUCAGUAGAUGUAGAAAAAAAAAAUUAACAAAAUCCAGCACGCAUUCACAAUGAAAAUGCUCAGUAAAUUAGAAAUAGAAGGUAACUUCCUCAACUUGACAAGGAAUAUCUCUAAAAACCUACAACUAAAAUCAUACUUAAUGGUAAAAAACUAGAAGCCUUCCCAGUAAGAGUAAGAACAAGGCAAAGAUGUAUGCUCUCACCACUCCUUUUCAACAUCAUAUUGGAAGUCCUAGCUAGUGCAAUAAGCAAAAAAAAAAAAAAAAGUUAUAUUAAUAAGAAAAAAAACCGUGUUUGUUUGCAGAUGACAUGAUUGUCUAUGCAAAAAA